rnacentral:rRNA from 1 species
CGGUACGUACUGGCAUCGUCGGUUUCUCCCUUCUGACGAACCAUGAUGUCAUUUAUUUGGUGUUGUGGGGAAUCAGGACUGUUACUUUGAAAAAAUUAGAGUGUUUAAAGCAGGCUCACGCUUGAAUACAUUAGCAUGGAAUAAUGAAAUAGGACGUUUGAUUCUAUUUUGUUGGUUUCUAGGAUCGACGUAAUGAUUAAUAGGGAUAGUUGGGGGCAUUAGUAUUCAAUUGUCAGAGGUGAAAUUCUUGGAUUUAUUGAAGACUAGCUACUGCGAAAGCAUUUGCCAAGGAUGUUUUCAUUAAUCAUGAACGAAAGUUAGGGGAUCGAAGACGAUCAGAUACCGUCGUAGUCUUAACCAUAAACUAUGCCGACUAGGGAUCGGAUGAUGUUAAUUUUUUAAUGACUCAUUCGGCGCCUUACG